rnacentral:rRNA from 1 species
GUCCACACCGUAAACGAUGAUCACUAGUCGUCGGAGGAUUCGACCCCUUCGGUGACGUCGCUAACGCAUUAAGUGAUCCACCUGGGGAGUACGCUCGCAAGGGUGAAACUCAAAGGAAUUGACGGGAGCCCGCACAAGCGGUGGAGCAUGUGGUUUAAUUCGAUGCAACGCGAAGAACCUUACCUGGGCUCGAAGUGUAGUGUAAACUCAUGAAAGUGAGGUAUCCCUUCGGGGAGCGCUACAUAGGUGCUGCAUGGCUGUCGU